AUUGAACGCUGGCGGCAGGCCUAACACAUGCAAGUCGAGCGGAUGAAGGGAGCUUGCUCCUGGAUUCAGCGGCGGACGGGUGAGUAAUGCCUAGGAAUCUGCCUGGUAGUGGGGGAUAACGUCCGGAAACGGGCGCUAAUCCCGCAUACGUCCUGAGGGAGAAAGUGGGGGAUCUUCGGCCCUCCCGCUAUCAGAGGAGCCUAGGUCGGAUUAGCUAGUUGGUGGGGUAAAGGCCUACCAAGGCGACGAUCCGUAACUGGUCUGAGAGGAUGAUCAGUCACACUGGAACUGAGACACGGUCCAGACUCCUACGGGAGGCAGCAGUGGGGAAUAUUGGACAAUGGGCGAAAGCCUGAUCCAGCCAUGCCGCGUGUGUGAAGAAGGUCUUCGGAUUGUAAAGCACUUUAAGUUGGGAGGAAGGGCAGUAAGUUAAUACCUUGCUGUUUUGACGUUACCAACAGAAUAAGCACCGGCUAACUUCGUG
rnacentral:rRNA from 1 species